rnacentral:rRNA from 1 species
UACGGAGGGUGCAAACGUUGUUCGGAAUUACUGGGCGUAAAGGGCGCGUAGGCGGCCUUCUAAGUCGAACGUGAAAUCCCCGGGCUCAACCCGGGAACUGCGUCCGAUACUGGGAGGCUUGAAUCCGGGAGAGGGAUGUGGAAUUCCAGGUGUAGCGGUGAAAUGCGUAGAGAUCGUGAGGAAGACCAGUGGCGAAGGCGGGUCUCUGGACAGUUCCUGACACUGAGGCACGAAGGCCAGGGGAGCAAACGGG